GUCAGCAGUCUCGGCGGCUCCAUUCACACCGCAGCCCUAGCAGAUUAGGCAGAGCGCGCGACUCCUUGGGGGCGUCCUCGCAGUGGGGGUGGGGGGCGGGCCCGAGGGAGCGUCCCUCUCGGAGACACCCUCCUCUCCUACCCGCCACGCGCUCUCCGCAGGCCUGUGGGACACAAUCCUCCCCCCACCUCCCCUUCUCGGCCUUCGCGAGUGUGGGCGCCUUGGGGUACUGGCGAGCCUCUCCAGGUGACGUUCUCCGCGGGAGCUCUGCAGUUACCCAGGCGGACGCGCCCGCUCUGCUGGCCUCAGCGCCCUGAGCUGGGCAGAGGGGGAGACAGUCUGGCCGGGAAGAAGGUCCAACCUCCGCCCGCCCCAGCAGCACUGAGACCUGUGGAAGAGGAUGUGGUCUGAAUCGCCGAUUGGCAGAGCUGGAAAUUAAACUCCUCGUUCUACAGAAAAGGAAACUGAGGCCCAGGCAGAGGGAGGAAAGGCAGAUGUGGAGUGCAGUGGUUAAGAGCAAGAGAUUGGUGGCCAGAAAAAGGAAUCUCAGCUCCACCAGGUAACCAGCAGCUGUGCAACCAUAGACGAGCUCCGCAGCCGCUGUAACAAUAACGGUGCCUAUUCAAGUUGCAAGAACUAGAUAAGCUCUGCCAGUAUUUCCCACUGGCCAAAUCCUACGGGAAGUGGAAGAUAAGAGAGCCCAUGGAUGCAAUCGAUUCAGCUUGUGGGAUAUUAGCUCCCCGACCAGGGAUUGAACCCGGGCCCUGGCAGUGGAAGCUUGGAGUUCUAACCACUGGACCACCAGGGAAUUCCCAGUAUGUCAAGAUCAUAAUGAAUAUGGAUUACCACUCUGGAGAAUUCAACUGAUGAAGAACAGGGGUUGGCAAUCUUCCCUUUGGUGUAUUUUUGGUAAAUUGCUGACCCUGAUGUAGAAGGUUCUCCAGCCCCUGGGAUAAUGAGCUAUGCACAACUGCUUGCAGCUUCCAGGCCACCUGCCAGGACUGAUGUUCUUCCAAUAGUCAAAGCUCCAUCAGCCUGAAUCCCUGAGUAAGAAUCACACAGAGCGGAGGCCCUGCUGACCUGGGAUGAACGUGUAGCAUAAAUGGGAAAUAAACCUUUGUUUUUCUAAGCCACUGGAGGUUGUUUGUUGCUGCAGCAUAAGGAAGAAAGGGUGAAAGAGAAGCUUCCCAUGCCUGGUUUAUGAACGUGGCCUUGAAAAUGUCCACAGAACUAUUGUUGUCUUGUUGAGUCUGCAGCCAGGAAGGCAGAAAUCACUGCAGCAAAGCAGGUGUGAACGUCCCCCUACUUCAGAGGCAACUCUCUUUGAAGCUGGAAAAUCAAGGACGCUGGUACCUUCAAGGAAACAAGGAUAUAAUUAUCACAACACCCAAUUGGCCGGUGACCUUCCAUUCCUCAGGACUGCCCUACUCCCUUCACUGGCACCAGCCCAGGUCCUCACAGACUGAGCUCUGUCCCAGAUCGCUCAGCCAGAGGAACAGCCCACUCCCUCACCCUUUGAAAGUGUUCUUAAUCUCUUUCUACUGCGCUGCUCUUGCUGACAUAAAUCCGCCAGCCCAGGGGGCCUCUGAGCCCCCCACAGAGGGAGGCCCUUCAGGCCAAGCGGAGUCUGAGCAGUGAAGGCGUAGAAUUUAUGCUUCCUCUCACCUGUGCUGUCUGUCUGUGGCCUCUACUCCAGGCUGGUUUUGAAGGUUUGACCAGAACCUCCCAGCUCCUUGCCAAGUCUGCCAUCAUCACCUCAGUCACAGAAGCAGACUUCUCAAGGCCACUGGAAGCUAAUAACAGGGACUCUCAACUUCAUUAUUAUAUUUGAAAUGUUGAAAGCUAAAGCCUAAUAAAAUAAGUUCAGAAAAACAAAAA